UUAUACCAUUGUCGCUCCAAUAUGAUUCGACGACAGAGGAAUCAGAUAAGACAGAUGCACAUGGUGUUGGAACUAGCGUUCAAAUAGCAAAAAACAUACAUGCUGUAAAAGCAUCUCAUGCCUUGUCAAGGCUUAGUGGUUUGGUUGACGAGGAGAUCCCGACACCCUACAAUCAGGCUGCAGCUGAUGCCCUUAGAGCUUUACUAACCAAUAAACUUGCAAGCAUGCUGAAAAUAAAUUAGCAAAAGACCUCCUAUUCACAUUAAACUCAAACUUGGAGUCCCCUGAGUUACAUUUGCUAUACAUGGUGAGAAGACCACGGUGAUGUUCCCGGAAGUGCUUUAGUAUUGGUGUUCCGUGGUGCAGCAUAAGAAUUGGCGGGUGAUGAAUACAGUUGUUGAACAAAACCUUCCAGCCAAAAGGGUAAGAAUAGAUCCAUCCUCAUACACUCUCAUUUAUUAUUUAAAAGGGUAUAUAAUUGAAAUAAUACAUAAGUGGUGUUCACACUUUUAUUAUAGAUAAUAUAAUAAUAUAUAUAACUGUAAAUGAAAAGCAUAUUAAGUUAUUGUGUGUAUUAUAAAUUUGUGAAUGAUUAGCUAUUAUAUUUCUUCAUUUAUGACUGUCGUUAAAUAAUUUUAUAA